CAAUAGCGUAUAUUAAAGUUGUUGCAGUUAAAAAGCUCGUAGUUGGAUAUCUGACCUUGCAUAGACGGCCCGCCCUUGUGGUUGUGUGCUGGAGUGCUGGUCUCUUUUUCGGUUGAUGGCGAUGCAGCUUACCCUGCGUCGUGGUUAUCCGGAUCGUUUACUUUGAAAAAAUUGGAGUGUUCAAAGCAGGCUUAUGCCGUGAACAGUUUAGCAUGGAAUAAUACUAUAGGACAGUCGUGUCUUAUUUUGUUGGUUCUAAGACCGUUGUAAUGAUUGAUAGGGACAGUUGGGGGUGCUGCUAUUCCGCGGCCAGAGGUGAAAUUCUCAGAUUCCCGGAAGAGCAACUUAUGCGAAAGCAUUCACCAAGGAUGUCUUCUCUGA
rnacentral:rRNA from 1 species